rnacentral:rRNA from 1 species
UGUGUAGGCGGCUUCGUAAGUCGGAUGUGAAAGCCCUGGGCUUAACCUGGGAAUGGCAUUCGAUACUGCGCGGCUAGAGUCUGAUAGAGGGAAGUGGAAUUCCAGGUGUAGCGGUGAAAUGCGUAGAGAUCUGGAGGAACACCAGUGGCGAAGGCGGCUUCCUGGAUCAAGACUGACGCUGAGGCUCGAAAGCGUGGGGAGCAAACAGGAUUAGAUACCCUGGUAGUCC